UACGUAGGGUGCGAGCGUUGUCCGGAAUUAUUGGGCGUAAAGAGCUCGUAGGCGGUGUGUCGCGUCGGCCGUGAAAACCUGGGGCUCAACUCUGGGCGUGCGGUCGAUACGGGCAUCACUUGAGUUCGGCAGGGGAGACUGGAAUUCCUGGUGUAGCGGUGAAAUGCGCAGAUAUCAGGAAGAACACCAGCGGCGAAGGCGGCACUCUGGGCCGGUACUGACGCUGAGGAGCGAAAGCAUGGGGAGCGAACAGG
rnacentral:rRNA from 1 species